AAUGGGUCAGCGACUUAUAUUCUGUAGCAAGGUUAACCGAAUAGGGGAGCCGAAGGGAAACCGAGUCUUAACUGGGCGUUAAGUUGCAGGGUAUAGACCCGAAACCCGGUGAUCUAGCCAUGGGCAGGUUGAAGGUUGGGUAACACUAACUGGAGGACCGAACCGACUAAUGUUGAAAAAUUAGCGGAUGACUUGUGGCUGGGGGUGAAAGGCCAAUCAAACCGGGAGAUAGCUGGUUCUCCCCGAAAGCUAUUUAGGUAGCGCCUCGUGAAUUCAUCUCCGGGGGUAGAGCACUGUUUCGGCAAGGGGGUCAUCCCGACUUACCAACCCGAUGCAAACUGCGAAUACCGGAGAAUGUUAUCACGGGAGACACACGGCGGGUGCUAACGUCCGUCGUGAAGAGGGAAACAACCCAGACCGCCAGCUAAGGUCCCAAAGUCAUGGUUAAGUGGGAAACGAUGUGGGAAGGCCCAGACAGCCAGGAUGUUGGCUUAGAAGCAGCCAUCAUUUAAAGAAAGCGUAAUAGCUCACUGGUCGAGUCGGCCUGCGCGGAAGAUGUAACGGGGCUAAACCAUGCACCGAAGCUGCGGCAGCGACACUAUGUGUUGUUGGGUAGGGGAGCGUUCUGUAAGCCUGUGAAGGUGUGCUGUGAGGCAUGCUGGAGGUAUCAGAAGUGCGAAUGCUGACAUAAGUAACGAUAAAGCGGGUGAAAAGCCCGCUCGCCGGAAGACCAAGGGUUCCUGUCCAACGUUAAUCGGGGCAGGGUGAGUCGACCCCUAAGGCGAGGCCGAAAGGCGUAGUCGAUGGGAAACAGGUUAAUAUUCCUGUACUUGGUGUUACUGCGAAGGGGGGACGGAGAAGGCUAUGUUGGCCGGGCGACGGUUGUCCCGGUUUAAGCGUGUAGGCUGGUUUUCCAGGCAAAUCCGGAAAAUCAAGGCUGAGGCGUGAUGACGAGGCACUACGGUGCUGAAGCAACAAAUGCCCUGCUUCCAGGAAAAGCCUCUAAGCAUCAGGUAACAUCAAAUCGUACCCCAAACCGACACAGGUGGUCAGGUAGAGAAUACCAAGGCGCUUGAGAGAACUCGGGUGAAGGAACUAGGCAAAAUGGUGCCGUAACUUCGGGAGAAGGCACGCUGAUAUGUAGGUGAAGCGACUUGCUCGUGGAGCUGAAAUCAGUCGAAGAUACCAGCUGGCUGCAACUGUUUAUUAAAAACACAGCACUGUGCAAACACGAAAGUGGACGUAUACGGUGUGACGCCUGCCCGGUGC
rnacentral:rRNA from 1 species